GGAACUAUUGCAUUCAAUAAGUGAACUGAACAAGGAGCUGGUUUUGGAGAAUACGACAAAAUGGCUGUGGUUGCACUGUACCAAUCGGGGCGUUUAAAAAACGAAACUAUCUGAAGGGUUUGCAGAGGGAAAACAUCAUCACACAACCGGUCCUGGUGGCUUGCCGGUUAUAAACCGCUGAACGGUCGGUUCUCCGGGAGAGGCUGAAGCGAUCAGCGCCUUUUUUUUCUCAAUGCACAACAACGCCUCUACUAGCGGUGUGCAGUGAAUGAGGAGCCCAUCGAGCCCGGACGAUGGGAGCCAACGCCGUCGCCGUCGCCGUGCCGACGCCGACAGAGAUCCGCUCAACUUGGAGAGCCGACAGCGCCGCCAUAGGAGAUCCGAAGCUGCGUUUAAUAAUUGAUUCAUUAAUCAUCUAUAAGUCCAUUAAAUCAGAGGCUUCCUCUGGAAUUCUAAUCGCCCAGCCCCGGCAACGAUAAAGGCGCAGUAGGGCGGCCUUA